ACGGGUUUGGGAUAAAUUAGUCACUACCGUCCAAAAAAGGCUAAAUUAGCCACUACCAGAGAAAAUUGAUUCAGGUGCUUACACACAACCCAAGCUAGGGUAAAUUUAUCAAACUAUCCCCUCUCCCACUCUGAUUCACACCAGCAUCGCCUCACUCCACACACAACAUUGAAAUUUUCUAGGGCACAUGGACACGCUGAAGCGAAGGAGGCGAUUCGCUGACGUUGAACAGUGAAGAUAUCUCGCGAAGCUUGCCAAAGCCGAUCACCACUGGAGUACACAUCAUCGGCGUCGAAGAAGACUCGCGAAGCUUGCCAAAGCCGAACGCCACCAAAGUGCACAUCUGUGGCGUCGAAGAAGAACUCACCGUCUGAAACACCACCGAUCGUCAAAUACUGCUCCCAACGUAGUUCUCUCUCUCUCUCUCUGUGAAAGUGGUGGUGGUUGAAUGGAGUCACGCUGGCUCUAUCUAAUGGCGGUUUUACUCUUCUGCAUUACCCAGGUAUAAGAGACUAUCCACUACCCAGAACCAGUCUUUUCUCUAUUUGCUUCUCAAACCCAACCCCUUGAUAAAAUAUAAAAAUAGAGCUUUGUAGUUUUGUAGAUCUCAACCGUACAUGUUUGUUAAGUUAAAAAUGGUGAGUGCUGUGUUGUGUGAGUGCACGUAUCAUCUGAUGCUGAGAUUGAAGACCACCUCCAAACCCAGGUGAUGAAAGGAGCUAACAGAAGGCUUUUGCCAUUCCUGGACUCUGAAGGGCUGUGCAAGGAAAGGUGUAGGUUGCAUUCAAGGCCAAACGUGUGCAUCAGGGCAUGUGGCACGUGCUGCGAGUGGUAUGACGGACGAGAUUCCUCACGAUGGGGCUCCUCCGGAGGUUUCCCCAAUAGUUCUACCUGUGCCGGAGGUAAAGGAACCGAUAGUUGACCUUGGGGCCGACUUGGAGGGGGAGUUCGAGCUUGAGGCCAAGCCAGAGCCACUACCACUAAGGGUACGGCCUUUUGAUUCGGUGAGAUAUCACCCAUAGACAUACAUAUUGCCCACUUUCGGAGGCAUCAGACGCUUCACUGAGUUCACCCGCGGUGCACCGGAUGACCUUUUGCUGAGAGAGCCGGAUUCUCACUUGCCGACUAUUGCCGUUGAGGGCGAGUCUCGUGCCUUCAGGGGUUACGCUGUUACAACUGCUCGAGACUGGUAUGAUGAGCUCCCAGCUGGAGUCCGUGACAUCAUUGACGAGGCGAGCUUCGGCCUCUUCUGCUCUAGCUUGACUUGGGUCACCGCGAGCCGUCCCCUCUUAGGAGCACUGGUAGAGAGGUGGUGGGAUACCACCAACUCAUUCCACUUUUCUACCGCAGGGAAGAUGACAAUGACUCCUUAGGACUUUGCCAUGAUCACCGGCUUAGACGUAGGAGGCGAUCCGAUCCCUCUUGAUACGGAUAUAGAGAAGUGAGAGACGGCUUGGUUCAAGCUGCUGGGGACAUACCCAACCAUAUACCGGAUGGGGAUGGUCAAAUACACUUGGUUUGCUGAGCGAUUCAGAGAGACCAAGUCUGAGACGAUAAAGGAGAUCGAGCAGUACGCCAGGGGCUUCCUGAUGUUCAUCUUCGGUACCACCUUGUUUUCGAACAGGUGGAACAUCGUAGGCCUACAUUUGCUGAGUGUCCUGGUGAACCUUCCUCGAGUUCGUUUCUACGACUGGGGUGGAGCUGGCUUCACCACACUGUACGGAUAUAUGAGCUCUACCUCCCGUCUGUGGGGAGACUUGAUUGGAGGCUACUGGCGAGCCUGGGAGCUACGGCUAUACGCAUACUUUCCGACUCUCGCCCCGAAGCCUGUAAAGGAGCUUCCACUGAUAGUUCCCUAUUCGUAGAUAUAUGACGGUCAACUUUGCCAUAGGACCCGUGAGCCUUUCACAUUCUUCAGGCAGUACUUCGACAUGGUAGCGGCCCAUGAGAUCACGUAGCAGCCAUGGGCCUUGAUGCAAGGGGGUCCGAGACCAAUUUGCCGGCGCCUAGGCCAUCUCCCGCUACUGCAUUCUGCUUGAGGGCCCGGUCUGCCAGGCUUGGUUCUUGGGUGAGCGCUUCGUGCGCUAAAUUAUGGGCCUGCUCGACCCGAUUGUCCUGAUGGCUCUACCAGAGUCCAUGCGGUCCACAGAGAGCCUAUCUGUUGAGGAGGUCAUCCAGUUCAUAGUGGGCCUUAACGUCGACUUCUUCCAAGCGGAGGCCGACUAUGCAGCUUUCAUCCAGACACACUUGAUGCCGCCCUCGAUUGGUAUUCGUGAAGCUGAGGAGGCAAGAGCUCCUGCCACGAGAGCAAGGCGCAGAGUGUCCCUGGCAAGCAGGGCCUAUGGCAGAGGGGCUUCUCGAGCGGGGCAGAGGGCUGAUUGGCCAAAGCUUCCCACAACGCUAACUUGCUAGAGACACAUCGGGGAUGCUUACCAGGUCCCGAUCGAGCCUGUAGCGGCUGGUCAUGAGCUUGUCGAGAUGCGAGGCCCGACUUUGGCACCGAUUGAAUACACAGGAGGCACCCUCGAGCUGAUAACCUCAUUGAUGGGGAUGGUACAAAGGAGAGAGGCGCUGCUCAGCCUCUACGGUAUUCAGCGGCAGCUGCAGCGCCCACACCAGUAGUACCUCUUCCAGUAGCAGGGAGAAGAGAGAGACAGAUUCUGGCACGCGGUCGUGGUAGAGCUAGGGGCACCCAAGCUAAGAGCGGCCCUUCAAAGCCCAUUCUAAGUGAUGAUAAUGCUGAGACAAGCAACUCUGAAGAGGCAGUGAGUCAGCAUUCAGAGUCAUCUAAGAGUGGAGGUGAUGACGUCAGCUCAGGUUUCGAGAGUGGAGGCGAUACCAAGGCAAGCUCUACGGUGGAGAGCGAUGAUGACACCGGCUUGGGUUCCGAUUCAGGUUCAGAUAAUGGCACCGACGGAGACAGUGCCCCACAGUCCUCUUCUCUAAGGAAGAGGACGAAGAGGGCUUUUUGAACCUAAGGCGACCAGCGCUGAUUUUUUUUAUUAUUUCUGCUUAGUUUCUUUUUGUUUAUAGUUUUAGCACAUUGUACAGCUUCAGAUAGGCUUUAUUUUCUUUAAAAACUUGUGCUGCACUUUUGUAAAAACAACCA